rnacentral:tRNA from 1 species
GCAUCGGUGGUUCGGUGGUAGAAUGCUCGCUCGUUACGCGGGCGGGCCCGGGUUCGAUUCCCGGCCGAUGCA